CCUACGGGAGGCAGCAGUGGGGAAUUUUGCGCAAUGGGCGAAAGCCUGACGCAGCAACGCCGCGUGUGUGAUGAAGGUCUUCGGAUUGUAAAGCGCUUUCGACCGGGACGAAAACCCGCUGGCCAAUAUCCAGCGGCUUGACGGUACCGGGAGAAGAAGCACCGGCUAACUCUGUGCCAGCAGCCGCGGUAAU
rnacentral:rRNA from 1 species